rnacentral:rRNA from 1 species
UACGAAGGGGGCUAGCGUUGUUCGGAAUUACUGGGCGUGAAGCGCACGUAGGCGGACAUUUAAGUUGGAGGUGAAAGCCUUGGGCUCAACCCAAGAAUUGCCUUUGAUACUGGAUGUCUCGAGACCGGGAGAGGUGAGUGGAAUUCCGAGUGUAGAGGUGAAAUUCGUAGAUAUUCGGAAGAACACCAGUGGCGAAGGCGGCUCACUGGCCCGGUUCUGACGCUGAGGUGCGAAAGCGUGGGGAGCAAACAGG